GAACAUUACCUCCUACAAGUGCUGAUAAGAUAAAAGUCUCGAUGGGUAGGAAAGUCAACAGUAUACGUUGAAUAAAAACUCGGUCCGAGGAUAAUACCCUGUGGGACUCCGGCCAUACCAGGAUAGUAGAAGAGCAAGAUGUUCCUGGCUGACCUGAAAGAAGCAGCCAGUCAAAUAUGAGCAAACCCAAUGCCAGACCCUAUCAAAGGCUUGAGCCACAACAAAGAAAGCACCCGAGCAGUACUGUUUCAGCUCAAGAGAGGAAGGAAUAGCGUCUACAACACGGUGGAAUUGCUGGAUUGUGGAGUGAUGUUUACGGAAGCCAAACUGGUGAAAUGGAACAGUUUUGUUCUUCAAAGAUGGGAAGGAUUCUUGGAAUAAUGUUUGUUCUUCGAAGAUGGGAAGGAUUUUUUUCAGAAGAAUCAAACUUGAUCACUCUAAACGUCAAAGAAUUAAAUAUCCCAAUUAGGUCUAUUGAUAAAACGUUAAAAAAAAUAACAACGUUCUUCUUUUAAAAGUCAAUAAAGGAGAUAGUAUGGUAAUCACUGAACUCCAAAAAUACAUUUCUACGGAAGAAAUCCUAAACAAUAACGAAUGUAGGGGCGUCGGUGGCCGCAACGGUUUAGGCGUUGACA